UAAUACGGAGGGGGCGAGUGUUGUUCGGAAUUACUGGGCGUAAAGGGCGCGCAGGCGGCUUGGCAAGUCGAGUGUGAAAUCCCUUGGCUUAACUGAGGAAUGGCGCUCGAAACUACCUCGCUGGAGGGCGGGAGAGGGAAGUGGAACUCUCGGUGUAGGGGUGAAAUCUGUAGAUAUCGAGAGGAACACCGGUGGCGAAGGCGGCUUCCUGGACCGACACUGACGCUGAGGCGCGAAAGCUAGGGGAGCAAACGGGAUUAGAUACCCCGGUAGUCCUAGCUGUAAACGAUGAGUGCUGGGUGUAGAGGGUAUUAACCCCUUCUGUGCCGAAGCUAACGCAUUAAGCACUCCGCCUGGGGAGUACGGUCGCAAGGCUG
rnacentral:rRNA from 1 species